GCCAAUGUGGUGUAGUGGUUUGAGUGCUGAACUAGGACUCUGGAGAUCAGGGUUUGAUUCCCUGCUUGGCCA